AUUGAACGCUGGCGGCAGGCCUAACACAUGCAAGUCGAGCGGAUGAAGGGAGCUUGCUCCUGGAUUCAGCGGCGGACGGGUGAGUAAUUCCUAGGAAUCUGCCUGGUAGUGGGGGAUAACGUCCGUAAACGGGCGCUAAUACCGCAUACGUCCUGAGGGAGAAAGUGGGGGAUCUUCGGACCUCACGCUAUCAGCUGAUCCUAGGUCGGAUUAGCUAGUUGGUUGGGUAAAGGCCUACCAAGGCGACGAUCCGUAACUGGUCUGAGAGGAUGAUCAGUCAAACUGGAACUGAGACACGGUCCAGACUCCUACGGGAGGCAGCAGUGGGGAAUAUUGGACAAUGGGCGAAAGCCUGAUCCAGACAUGCCGCGUGUGUGAAGAAGGUCUUCGGAUUGUAAAGCACUUUAAGUUGGGAGGAAGGGCAGUAAGUUAAUACCUUGCUGUUUUGACGUUACCAACAGAAUAAGCACCGGCUAACUUCGUG
rnacentral:rRNA from 1 species